ACACUUUUUCGGAUUUUUAGGAAUAUUUUGGGUAUUCUAUUACAAUCAACGACGUCUUUUAUCGCAAUUUCACUAAAAAAUUUCGUUGAGAAACAAUUAAAUAUUUAAUUAUAUUAAGUUUAAAUAAUUGGUACUGGCGUGAUUUGGACAUCAUCUGUUGAAUGUUCACCAAUCGGACAUUGCUGCCAAUAUUAAAAUGUGAGAUGGGGGAACGCGGUCAAUUGCAAUUCUAGUUAUCUUUGGAUCAAUAAAUUUAAAUAUAUUUUUUAUUUAAAUUAAUUUCCUGUAAUUUUUGGAUGUUGGUCGAACCAGGAUUCCUCGUCUUUCAAAUGCUACACAUUGCUAACCACUCUAUUAGCUACACCAAUGUGUAUAAAGUCUAAAUCCUACUCGCUCAGCGAGAUGGUUCGCUAGGUUUGGGACCGCACGUUGAAAUCAGUUUUAAUUAAAAAGGGAGCCAGAUGAUAUACCCCCUUCUGAUGACGAUUGCUCCAAAAGCUUUAAUCAUUAAUUUUAAGGGUAGGCAGCUAGAAUGUUCGCUCAUUUUAGUGGACAGAUUCCGACGACCAAGUUGGUAGAUGUCAUCAUCCUGGAAAUACGGAAUUUGCGACGGGGCAUCCGUUAAUCAGCAUAUGCCUUAAUCAGCGUCUUAGAUGUGCGUACUGCUAAUGUCGCAGUAGAUGCUAGUAGAUUUGAUGGAAACUCAACCGGCUAUAGCCUGAGGUUUUUUACGGGUAUAGGAUGGUCAAAAGAAAUACAUGCGGCUCAAAACCUAAAGGCUAGAAAACACGGCAGGAGGAGGCCCUAAUGCAUAGCGUAAAUUGUCACCUGCCGAAGGGAUGAAAGAGUCGGUGGAAUGGUCCAGAAUUUAUCUACGUUGAAGAAGAACUCGUUGCCAAAUAUAAUAUCAAUAAUACACAAUAAUACUAAACAGCUGAUUUCGAAAGAGAAAAAAUCGUACUCUCGAAAAAUCAUUCUCUCUGUGCAUUUAGAAUUGAUGGUUUUUUUCUUAGCGGAUUUCUAAGUCCUCGAGGGAGAAUUUUCCCGAGAGUAUUAAGAAUUGGGCUGUAUUAUUAUAAAUUCACAGGAAAAGUAUUUUCACUAAAAGCUAAUUUGUUUAUUUAUAAUGCGCAAUUGGAAAAAUAUGCAGCGUUACAUAUGAUAUAAUG